CUUGUCCAAAUGUUUUUGAUCAGAUGAGUCAGUGGAAUAAUUUUUAACGCACGUAAUGGCAUACAACACACACGUGAGAAGUGUUUUGAACUGUACUUUUCAGUUGGAUUGCUGCUCUUGCUGCCUAUGGAACCUUUGUCGCAGCUUAAGAUGAACAUUUCAAGUCAGUAUAUUUGAAUAUUUGUAGAAUAGUUUGAAACACUAAUAUAACAAUUACAGAGGCACCUGGUAAAGUAAUAUCACUAUUUUUAUUAUUUUGCCAUACUGUAAUAAUUUAUUUCAUUUAGCCUUUCAUUGAAAUUGAUUUGCAAUCUAUUUUUCAUUUUAGGGAAAAUUUAUUGCAUUAUUUAUUUCUAUUCCAAGGUACCGACAAAAAGGGAUUAUAUCUUACUUUUAUUAUUAGUGGGUGGAACGGAGAAGGAAGUGGUAUCAGACGCUGUUUAUUUUUCUACAUCGUCUGAUAACACUUCCUUCUCUCCAUCCUCUACAAACUACAAGGACAAAUUAAGAUGCAAAAAUUUCGAAAAUAAGGUAUGCUAUAUUGAAAAUGUAAUUAUUUAUAUUCAAACUAGUUAACCGGGCAAACGUUGUUUUGCCAUAUAAAUUAUUUCAAGUUUCUAGAUAAAUUUUAGUGUAGACAAAAAGUAACUUACUUAUUAUAAAAAAUAGGGGUUGGUGAUAAGAAACCAAAAAUUUAGGGUUGUAUGUAUAUUUUAAUGCCACAUUAAAAAAAUAAAAACAAAAAAUUUCGACCAAAAUUUAAAAAAAAUUAAUGGUGAACAACCCUUAUCACUUAGAGAUAUGAAGUUACCGAUUCUCAGACCUACUGAAUACGCAUAUAAAAGUUUUCUUUGAGCGGGAUGAAAAAUGAUUAAAUUACUAAAAUGGCUAUAAAGAAAUAGGGGUUGGUAAUAAAAAACUAAAAAUUUAGGGUUGUAUGUAUUUUUUAAUUCCACAUUACAGUAGAAUCUUGAUAACUCGAACCUUGUUAAGUCGUAAUCCUCAGUAACUCGAAAAGAUAUGCUAUUCCCUUCCGCUGAACCCCGAACGACGCACUAACUCGAAUUUUUUAGACUCAGUAACUCGAACAAUAAGUUAUUUCCCUGUGAGGCAUUACUCGUACAUUUUAAUACUCAGUAACUCGAACUGCAAAUACUACCUCAGUAAGUCGAAGUUCAUAAAAUUUUAUGAUUUCUUACUCGAGAUUCCCGGAGCUCAAAACUCGGGAUUCCCGGAGCUUAAAACUCGUGGCAAUAAAAUCAAAAAGGAAUGUUCGGGGCUCGGGGCUUCUUAUCUAUUGUUUUUGUUUUGCACACGUGCAAGGAAUGAAUUCAUUCAAUAAACUUUCUAAUUUCUAAGAAACAUAGAUGUUAUGUUUCUUCAUUUUUGGUCACUUUUGGUUACUUGGCUCAGUCAGUACAUAUUUGUUUGGCUGUUAACAAGCAACAACAUGAGUACAAUACAGCAAUUGAUACACUACGAACUUACAUUGAAAGAUGUAAUGAUAUCGAGUAUCAUAUAUUCGGUUCACUAUAUGAACUAGAAAAAAUAAUUGAUAAAAAAUCUGUAAAUGGCUUGAAUCAAACGAAGAUAACAGAUUUUUUAUCAAUUAUUUAAAACAUACAGUGUAAGUUCAUUCAUUAUAAUUAUGUACUUGACUCUCAUUUUAUGUUACCUAAUGUAAUUUGUCGUAAUAAAUGUUCUAUGAAAUUGUGCCUUUUUAUGUCGAAAUUUGAUGAGUUACCUCUUCAUAUCUCGAAAUUCUUGUUAAGUCGAAAACUUUCUAUCUCGAAUUUUUUUUGGUUUCCCUUGACAUUCGAGUUAUCAAGAUUCUACUGUAUAAAAAAAAUAAAAACAAAAGAAUUUGUCCAAAAAUUUAAAAAAAAAGUUAAGGGUGAACAACCCUUAUCACUUAGGGAUAUGAAAAAUAGAUGUUCGCCGAUUCUCAGACCUACUGAAUACGCAUAUAAAAUUUGGUAAAAAUCGGUAAAGCCGUUUCGGAGGAGUAUGGAAACAAACACUGUGACACGCAAAUUUUAUAUAUAUAUAGAAGAUAGGUUAUUUUGAUGGAUGGUGGCAAAAUUAAGGAUGACAAAGACAGUGACUAUAGCACUUUAAUCAUUGGUUUGAUUCACAGGAUAGAGCUGGUUCCUGGACAUUUUCCUACGAUGCAGCACAAGGCUAUAUGGAGUGCCACUCGCAGUUAUUAAACCUAUUGUUCUAUUGAACAAAAUAUAAACAUGAAGAAAAGAAAAAUUUCACCUGGGAUAGAAAUAUACAAUUGUUUAAGUAUAAAUUAAUUCGGAAUGCAUACAUGCCAUUCUUAAGCACUUUGAUGAUUGAUAAUUAAAGUUUGAAUUUGCAUUUAAAUUUUUUUGACAUUUACAGCUUAUCUGUAAUACUUUCGAAACAUUCUUAUCAUAUGAACACAUUGUAAAUAUUCCAGGAGCUGAUUUUAAGAUUGACAUUUAAAAAAUUCAAACCAUAUCAUCAUUGAAUCCAAAUAUAUAUUAACACAAUUAUAGCGCAAAUUACGGUUAUUAAGUAUUCUUAUUCUGACACGCGAUAUAGAUGUACAACUAGUGUUGGCUUGUUAACUACACGAGUUUGAAUUAUGAACAUGUCCACUAAUCAAAUAAACCCUAUAAAUACCGCAAUUAAAACAUGCAAAACUCAGUUCAUAUAAAAUAACUCAACAACCAUGAAUAAACAAUUGAUAAUUUUUGCAAUUUUAUUUUGCAUUUUAGUGAGUUUUAAGCCGUUAGAUGCAAAACCAGCUGAUAUUACCGACAAGAUACAAGACAAAGCACUUGAAAUUGCGUUUAAAUUAGGUAAUAUGGCUAAUACGGCAAAGGAUCAACUUAAAGAUGUAUUCAAAACCAUGCUUGAGAGCAAAUAAGAAUAUUGAGUUCAAUGUGUAAACAUAAAAUGAAUAAUAAUUAUUGGAAUGUUUCAAUGGCAUUUUAUAAUUAAAGAACUUUGCUCACUAUACAGAA